CUGGGUGGCGGCAUGGUAGUGCUGGGCAGUGCCGAGAAAGAGAGGGCGCUCACGUCAUAUAUCAUAGAAAAUGACCUUCUCACAAUGACUGACCAGCGUCUGUUUGCAAAGACUUCCUUCAGUACGGAACCAAGAGUAAAAAGUACCGACAUUUUACUAACAACAAGAUUCCUGUAGGUUCCCUUCCCGAGGACCGCGCUAACCUGACCACCCCCGCCGGGUUUACGAUCGCCCUGUACUCCAUCAUUUGCAGACACAGGCAGUGCAGUAAUUAAUCUCAAUGUGACAGAUAAAGAUAAAGCUUAGGAUUUUCUUCCUGUGGAAGGUUAAUUAAUCCCAAAGGACAAAUAUUGCACAGCCUUCCAAGUAUACAAUGGUAACAUUCUCAGCAGUUAUCUCUCUUUGCCCAUUCAU